rnacentral:rRNA from 1 species
CCCUUAGAUGUUCUGGGCUGCACGCGCGCUACACUGAUACCUUCAGCGAGUCCACCACCUUGCCUGGGAGGGUGGGGUAACCUCUGGAAAGUGCAUCGUGAUGGGGAUCGAUUAUUGUAAUUAUUAAUCUUCAACGAGGAAUUCCUAGUAAGCAUGUGUCAUCAGCCCGUGCUGAUUACGUCCCUGCCCUUUGUACACACCGCCCGUCGCUCCUACCGAUUGAAUGUGUUGGUGAGGAGCUCGGAUUGGCAGCAGUUGGUGGUUCGCCACCGGCUAUUGCUGAGAAGUCCUCCAAACCGCCCCAUUUAGAGGAAGGAGAAGUCGUAACA